CCCUUUCCAGUCAGAAGUUUUAAGCCAGGAUUACCACUCCAUCUCAAGCUCCUGAGCAAGUAACUUAAGAACUUUUCCAGAGGACUGCCUGGUUUCAUACUAUACAUAUCCCCAGUGAUUUCCUGGCCCUUUUUUUGUUCUCAGAGAAGUGCAGAUGCUCCCCAGGAGCAGAGGUCCCCUCUGCACGCUGGGCUCGGGCAGGCACUGCGGCUGGGGCUCACUAUUGUGCUCUGCACGGCCGUCUCCCAGUGACCGCAGCAUCCGCUGAUCCCGUCCCAUCUGCUGCUACCUCACUGCAACAGCAGGGAAACGGAUUCCUCCCAUCACUGCCCUGGGCCCCACUCAGACUGAAAGGAAGAAGAAAGUACCUGCACUGGCUGUGGUUUGGGGUGAUGUUUAACUGUACCAGAGGCGGCAGCCGGGCCGGAGAUUUGUCAGUCCAAAAAUGACACCAGCAGAAUUCACUGGUGGUGGAGAAGAAACACUGAAAGGAAACUGCUGAACAGGCAGUAGCAACACAGGAAGGCUGGGAGUUCCUCACUGCUGUGUGCAACCCUGUUCCUGUCCCAGAGCACCCUGGAGAAGAGCAGCUGUCCUGCAAUGGGGAUGAGCAGCUCCUGGCCAAGGGGCUGAAGCUUGGUCUCAACUGCACCUUCUGAUGAAAUGCCCCUUCUGGAGGUCACAUGAAGGAGGAACAAGCAUGACCUAAACCAGUCAGCAGAAAAGCAGCAGCAGACAAAUCUAGAGUACAAGGAUUCCUUAGAUGGCAUGGGGUCAAAUUAGCACAAUUUGAGUGACCUGCCAAGACAUUCAUGUUCCCAGAGAGUUUCAUGUAUUUGCAGCAAGACUUGACCUCCACAAGGUUGUGCCUGCAAAACCCUUACUAGUUUCCUUUUGGAAGCAUCCAGAUUUUACCACAAUACAGUGCAGGUCUCUGCCUGUAUUCCUAUUCCUUAUCUUCACUCUUCCAGAAACCAGACCGGUCACUGUGGCACAGUGUGAGAUAUGUAGGCUAACACCAACUGUAGAUUCAUUUGUGUAUAAUCCCUUUCUGUUAGACAGGUGUGUAUAAAAAGCUUCAUUCACUGCUAUUCUGAUCUUGUCAGAACCUCUUAUGUGCACAAACCCGUAUCUCCUAAGUAUAAGGAA